GGAGUAAAAGUCGUAACAAGGUUCCCGUAGGUGAACCUGCGGAAGGAUCAUUACUGAGUGAGGGCCCCUCGGGGUCCAACCUCCCACCCGUGUUUAACGAACCUUGUUGCUUCGGCGGGCCCGCCUCACGGCCGCCGGGGGGCAUCUGCCCCCGGGCCCGCGCCCGCCGAAGCCACCUGUGAACGCUGUCUGAAGUAUGCAGUCUGAGACAAUUAUUAAAUUAAUUAAAACUUUCAACAACGGAUCUCUUGGUUCCG
rnacentral:misc_RNA from 1 species